UGCUUCUCUUGAGAGCGGCGGACGGGUGAGUAAUGCCUAGGAAUCUGCCUGGUAGUGGGGGAUAACGUUCGGAAACGGACGCUAAUACCGCAUACGUCCUACGGGAGAAAGCAGGGGACCUUCGGGCCUUGCGCUAUCAGAUGAGCCUAGGUCGGAUUAGCUAGUUGGUGGGGUAAUGGCUCACCAAGGCGACGAUCCGUAACUGGUCUGAGAGGGUGAUCAGUCACACUGGAACUGAGACACGGUCCAGACUCCUACGGGAGGCAGCAGUGGGGAAUAUUGGACAAUGGGCGAAAGCCUGACCCAGCCAUGCCGCGUGUGUGAAGAAGGUCUUCGGAUUGUAAAGCACUUUAAGUUGGGAGGAAGGGUUGUAGAUUAAUACUCUGCAAUUUUGACGUUACCGACAGAAUAAGCACCGGCUAACUCUGUGCCAGCAGCCGCGGUAAUACAGAGGGUGCAAGCGUUAAUCGGAAUUACUGGGCGUAAAGCGCGCGUAGGUGGUUUGUUAAGUUGGAUGUGAAAUCCCCGGGCUCAACCUGGGAACUGCAUUCAAAACUGACUGACUAGAGUAUGGUAGAGGGUGGUGGAAUUUCCUGUGUAGCGGUGAAAUGCGUAGAUAUAGGAAGGAACACCAGUGGCGAA
rnacentral:rRNA from 1 species